rnacentral:misc_RNA from 1 species
GAUGAAGAACGUAGCGAAAUGCGAUAAGUAAUGUGAAUUGCAGAAUUCAGUGAAUCAUCGAAUCUUUGAACGCACAUUGCGCCCCUUGGUAUUCCGAGGGGCAUGCCUGUUCGAGCGUCAUUAUAACCCUCAAGCUCAGCUUGGUGUUGGGGCCUGCUGCACUGGCAGCCCUUAAAAUCAGUGGCGGCGCCAUCUGGUUCUAAGCGUAGUAAUUCUUCUCGCUAUGGAGUCCUGGUGGAUGCUUGCCAUCAACCCCCAAUUUUUCUAUGGUUGACCUCGGAUCAGGUAGGGAUACCCGCUGAACUUAAGCAUAUCAAUAAGCGGAGGA